GUGAGGAAUAUUGGUCAAUGGGCGGGAGCCUGAACCAGCCAAGUCGCGUGAAGGAAGAAGGAUCUAUGGUUCGUAAACUUCUUUUGCAGGGGAAUAAAGUGCAGGACGUGUCCUGUUUUGUAUGUACCCUGAGAAUAAGGAUCGGCUAACUCCGUGCCAGCAGCCGCGGUAAUACGGAGGAUCCGAGCGUUAUCCGGAUUUAUUGGGUUUAAAGGGUGCGUAGGUGGUUUGAUAAGUCAGCGGUGAAAGUUUGCAGCUUAACUGUAAAAAUGCCGUUGAAACUGUCGGACUUGAGUGUAAAUGAGGUAGGCGGAAUGCGUGGUGUAGCGGUGAAAUGCAUAGAUAUCACGCAGAACUCCGAUUGCGAAGGCAGCUUACUGGGAUGCAACUGACGCUCAUGCACGAAAGCGUGGGGAUCAAACAGGAUUAGAAACCCCGGUAUCC
rnacentral:rRNA from 1 species